AUGGCCGAAUGCUUCAAUAGGGUGCUAAAAGGUGCACGUGGAUUACCCGUGACGGCAAUAGUUCAAUACACAUUUGACAAGAUGAAUGCGUACUUUGUAAAGUACUUGAUGGAAACCGAUGCACAGAUAGCGGGUGAGAACCCACGGAAGUACAAGUACAAGUUCCCACCCAAAGUUGAUGAAUGGUUGCUAUUUCAAUCACGGAAGGCGGACUCAGAAGAAGCUAUAUUAUAUGACAAUGAGGAGUGGAAGUACGAAGUGAAAGAGCCAGGAGGAACCACAAACGAUGGCCGGCAACAUGGAGGUCGGGCUUUCAAGGUGUCGUUAACACAAUGUGAUUGCACUUGCGGGAGGCCAUUGUUGCUUCAUCUCCCAUGCUCACAUUUGUAUGCCGCCGGCCGCGUUAGGAAUGUGGACAUCAAUCACCCACGCACCGUGAGGGAGUCCCAGUUCUCAAUCAUGACGGUCAAGAAAACAUGGGCUCCCCGCUUUCACCCAUACUUUGACCAAUCACAAUGGCCGGAGUAUCAUGGAGUUCAACUAUGGCCGGAUCCG
rnacentral:rRNA from 1 species